GGACUACCGGGGUAUCUAAUCCUGUUCGCUACCCACGCUUUCGUCCAUCAGCGUCAAUCAUCUGUUAGUAACCUGCCUUCGCAAUCGGUAUUCCAUGUAAUAUCUAAGCAUUUCACCGCUACACUACAUAUUCUAGUUACUUCACAGACAUUCAAGCCCUACAGUAUCAAUGGCAAUUUUUUGGUUAAGCCAAAAACUUUCACCACUGACUUAUAAGGCCGCCUACGGACCCUUUAAACCCAAUGAUUCCGGAUAACGCUUGGAUCCUCCGUAUUACCGCGGCGGCUGGCAC
rnacentral:rRNA from 1 species